rnacentral:lncRNA from 1 species
ACCGUGCAAGAUUUACUUUGAUACCAUGUAAUAGUGUAACGUCUUCCCGAUCUUGAAAUAAUCACCUGACCGAACGUAUACAAUUAUACAAAUGCAUGUUUAGAUUUUCAAAUCUAGAAAAAUGACUGGAAAAAUAAUUUAUGAUAAAAUAGUAUAUCUAAACUUUUUGUACAGGAUGUAUAGAUAUAGAUAAUAGAAUAAUUUUAGGUGGGGUGAGUGUGUCACAAUACAAUAUGUCUUUUCAUCCUAUGUAAUUUAAAGAUAAUGAAAUGGUAAUGCAAAGGGUAAAACCUUUAAAUAAUAAUACCUUUAACUAAAUUCACAUUAGAUAAUAAUAAAUGAGAUUUGAUUAGAUAUAACAUCUCACGAGAAUCACAUAAUAAUACCUUUAAAUAAUAUAUUAGAAUCAAAUAAUAUAUCCCUGGUUAUAUUAUGGUAAAAUUAAAUGAAAAUUAUAUAUACAUUCAUAAUAGGACAUUGAACUUUAAAGAUUUGCAUUUAUCACUCAUUUAAAUACACUAUCACAAAAUUUGAAACAAUAUUAAAAUUAACAAUGAUGAUUCAAUUAUCUCAUAUAAUUGAAUCGAUCGACAUUCCUACACUCCAAAUCUAAUCAGCAUUUAAAAAAGAACUGAUCAAAGAUUAAACCAUCGAAGAACAACCAUCAAAGAUUCCCGUCAAUAACGUCAUCCGAAGGAGUAACCGUCGGAAGGAUUUAAAUUAACAAUACGACUACAUAUAUUAUUAGAAAAAUAUAUCUCUAAUUAUCUCUAAGUCCUUUAUCUCAUGUAUAUGAAAAACAAUCUUUUUAGUUUUUUCCCACCUUUUCUUAAACUUGUAUACUAUUUUAUAAAUAGAAAGAGUUGUAAACUAAAAAGAUAUAUAAUUUUGAAUGAAAAAUUUAAUUGUUCCAAAUUGAAUCUUGGAAUUUACUCUUCUCCCAUAAAAUCUGAUUUUUUAUCUUUCCAUCUUUUCUCUUUUAGUAGAAACAUACUACACUUCAAUAAUAUAUUGUUUAUACCGUUCUAGGACAGAUCCAGAUCAAAAAAGACAGAAAUCCUAUGUGACCUCACUCUUGUAAGUUGCGAUGAUCUCCUUACAUAGUCACAUAGAGAUGUAUGAUUAUCCACAUCAGAAGUAUUUUAAUAUAAGAAUUGAAAGCUUCCUAUAGAAUCUUGAUCCAAUCUCAAAUAUGAUUGAGAUGAAACGUUUUCCUUAACUUUAUUGAAUUAUAGACUAUGUAUUUAUAAUCUUGAUUACGAGACUAUUAGUUAUACUCACAAUGAAUUAACUUCCUAAUUACAACUAAUGUGACUUGGUACAACACUUCCGUACAAUAAAUAACAUGCAAAUGGUAAUGAACUAUUUUCUAAUGCUACAUUUAUUUUAAUGAUUGUAUAAAAAUCAAAGGGAACUAAAAUAAUCCUUAUGACUUAUGAACUAAAAUAAUUCCAGAAGGCCAGAACACCAGUCGUCCAACAUUUAAAAAAAAAAAUUUAAACUUGAUGAUUUUGACAAUUUGACGUGUUUUUUUUAUUGACCUUGAAUAAACUAAUAAGUAAUAAUAUAUUUGAUGGAUUCUCAAAUUAUCCAUCAAGACUUUAAGUGAUAACUGAUAACUGACGUGUGUGUUCUAACUUUUAAUGACAUCAAUUAAAAAAAAAAUCAAAAUUCCAAAAUUCCCAAUAAAAUAAAGCUUUAAAUGAUUGGAUUAGAAUCAUGGGUUGUUAAAAUUGGUCCAGGUAAGUAUCAUCGAGUGCUGUCUCAUUGACAGAUUCUUCGAUAACAAAACAUCUAUUUAAUAUUACCAAGUACCAACCAAAGACCAAAAUGGCAAAAGUCUUGAAAUUUUUAAUGACUCGACAGAAACCAGGGUGUUUCUUUCUAGGUUGGUUCCAUGAAUCCUCAGCGACAAUUCCUAAUUCAAUGAUACAACAAUCAUCAUCGGCUCCAAGCAACAACAAAAGUAUCCAAGGAAACAUCGAAGCUCCACUCUUCCUGUCUUCCUUUUAAGUAGUUCAAGUGAAUAGCGAUACAGACCUCUCUUCUAUCCUUUUCUUCCUCCUAUGGCAACGGCGGUACACUGGAGCUCCAAUGAUACAGACCAAAAAAAAGAUAACUCCAUCGUGGUUGUGGCUGUUUCAGGCAGACGGAGCCGUCGAGCCCUGCGAUGGGCAUCUGUGAAUCUCAUCCCACACGCCUCUCGUGUCAUCCUCAUACACGUUAUCCCUCCCAUAUCCAUCAUCCCAAAUUUUGGUAAGUUGGUAAGGAUUUCUAGCAGACUAGUAACAUAUUAACCCGAAUAUCUGACAUAUUUUCUGCUGCGCAGAUGGAGGAGAUAAAACGCCGAUGAAUGAGGCUGGUCUAGAUACACUGCGGUUGAUCAAGGAAAAUAGACUUGUUAAUGUGAGAAAGAAUCUUGGUUUGUUUCGGAAUCUCUGUCAAACUAGGAGGGAUGUGGAGAUGGAGGUGUUGGAAGGAGAAGAUCCAGCUGUGGAAGUGUUAAGGUACGUUGCCAUAUCGGGAUUCAAGAAUCUGGUCCUGGGUGCUUCUACUUUCACAUGGUUGACCAAAACGAUUAAAGGAAUGGAUGUCCCAAACACUGUGCUGAAAUCCAUUCCAGAAAGCUGCAAUUUGUUCGCUGUUUCGAGAUGGAAGGUUAUUUGCAAGUUGGCUGGACAGAAGCCUUUUGUUACAGAUCCAUCGUCAGAUAUACGGAAGGCUAGACUUAAUAUCUUCACGCAGAAAGAACGGAAUAGAACUUUGGACGAGCAAGAGACGAACCCGAGUUCUCUUGAAAUGGAUUCGGGCAAAAGUUCGUUAUCAGAGUGGUCGCAGCUCAAUCGUUUAACCUCUUUGGAUUCCGUUGUCAGCACGGAUAGCAAUGAUGCUUAUGGUCCUGCGCAUUCCCAUCGGAUUUCUGAUCUUGGGAUCUUGAUGACGGGGGGACAAUUCCACCCUAAUAAUUUGCAUCAAAAAUGGGGGGAAGAACCGCGAUUCCGAUCGCGAUCUAUGGAUGUCAUUCCAUCCGAUUUAGUAGAAGUUUCCCAAGAUGAUAUUAACUGGGAACUAGAGAAGCUAAGGUUAGAACUGAAGGUUACCUCGACAAAGUAUAAUCACGCCUGCAAGGAACUGAUCGUCGCCAAGAACAAGAUCGAAACACUCUCCGUCCAACGAUCGGAAGAAGCGACGAAGGCCAGAAUCGCCAUGGAAAGAGAAGAAGAAUUGAAAAAGAUCGCCGAAGAAGAGAGAUCUAAGAAUAUAGAAGCGAUGAAGGAAAUCAAAGAAACGAAACGAUUACUUGCUUUAUUUUCAGGUGAUGAAAACUGCAAACUAUACUCCAAGGAUGAGAUCAUCGCUGCUACUGAUGACUUCUCCGAUUCGAAAAAGAUCGGAUCCGGUGGUUACGGCAACGUCUACGGAUGCAUCCUUGACGACACUCCGGUAGCGAUCAAAG